rnacentral:rRNA from 1 species
GAUGAACGCUGGCGGCGUGCCUAAUACAUGCAAGUCGAGCGAACAGACGAGGAGCUUGCUCCUCUGACGUUAGCGGCGGACGGGUGAGUAACACGUGGAUAACCUACCUAUAAGACUGGGAUAACUUCGGGAAACCGGAGCUAAUACCGGAUAAUAUAUUGAACCGCAUGGUUCAAUAGUGAAAGACGGUUUUGCUGUCACUUAUAGAUGGAUCCGCGCCGCAUUAGCUAGUUGGUAAGGUAACGGCUUACCAAGGCGACGAUGCGUAGCCGACCUGAGAGGGUGAUCGGCCACACUGGAACUGAGAAACGGUCCAGACUCCUAAGGGAGGCAGCAGUAGGGAAUCUUCCGCAAAGGGCGAAAGCCUGACGGAGCAACGCCGCGUGAGUGAUGAAGGUCUUCGGAUCGUAAAACUCUGUUAUUAGGGAAGAACAAAUGUGUAAGUAACUAUGCACGUCUUGACGGUACCUAAUCAGAAAGCCACGGCUAACUACGUG